rnacentral:rRNA from 1 species
GAUGAACGCUGGCGGCGUGCCUAAUACAUGCAAGUCGAGCGGACAGAUGCGGCGCUUGCUCCUCUGACGUUAGCGGCGGACGGGUGUGUCACGCGUGUAUCACCUCCCUAUCAGUCUGGUAUCACUUCGGGACACCGGCGCUAAUCCCAUAUAAUCUAUUGCACCGCAUGGUUCAAUAGUGAAAGACGGUUUUGCUGUCUCUUCUCGCUGGAUCCCCGCCGCAUUAGCUAGUUGUUACGUUAACGGCUUACCAAGGCUACGAGGCGUAACCGACCUGAGAGAGUGAUCGGCGACACGGGAACUGGGACAGGGUCAAGAGGACUAAGGGAGGCAGCAGUAGGGAAUCGGACGCAGUGGGGGAAAGCCUGACGGAGCAACGCCGAGUGAGUGAUGGAGGUGUUGGGAGCGUAAAGACGUGUUAUGAGGGGAGAACAAAUGUGGAAGGAGCUAUGCACGGCGUGACGGUACCUAAUAAGAAAGCAACGGCUAACUACGUG